UUCUGAGUCUAUCAGAAAGACUUCUUCUUUGUUCCUUUGAGCAGCUUCAAUCUGAAGCAUGUGAAGUGUUCUCAUAUUUUAUGCAAAAUUUUUAAGAUGCAUGUGUAUUUACAUGCUACAUCUGGAAGAGUGGAAAGCGAAGCAUCUCUUUACUAGUUCCUGUUGAAUGUUAGCACAGUGCGUUGACACUGGCAAAAGUAAUUUGACCUACAAUGAGCGUGUAUGUGGGGGAUGGCCAGAAGUUUUCAAUGGUACGUGAUGUGUGCCAUUAAUAUAUUGCUCCUCUUAUGCCAGGGAACAUGCCUUGUGAGGCAGUGCAGCGCCAGCGAGAGCUUCACUUCAGGCAUCCUGAUAGUGUGGCAUGUGUCUUGUGGCGAUGCUGACUGCGCAGGCUGACACCAUUUGUUCUUCUGAGGGUUACAAGCUCAGGCAUGCUGUCCAGUUCCAGCAACGAGUUACCACACCUCAGCUGGGGCACAGGAACUGCAGCGUGCCUUUCUUUAGCCUGCAGCAAAUGUGAGGUUCAAUGUGUCAGCUUAACCUCAGGGGCAAGGAAAAGAAAAGUCGAAACUGGUUGCUUCCAUCUGAGAUCGCCACAGGCAAAGAGCAAACACACAUGGUCAAUUACCACGGCUCAGUUGAUGCAUGAUGGUGCCAUUUUCAGGUCAAAUCUUUGUAUUAGUAAGAACUUGUCCAUUGACUUCAUAGAGCAGUAUUAUAUUGUGAGCAAUGAGUUGUUACAUUGCAAACACAAUUGAAGAAGCUAUGUUUUAGAGUCUAAUUUAAAGAUGAACUUACAUCUUUCUUAAAAAACAUUGGAAAAAAAAAAGGAACAAUAAAAGGCAAAUCAACAAGACCAACAAUGGAAGAAAACCAACAAUCCCAAACUUUCAUCCUUCCUCCCAAAUCACACUAGUUUUCUUACUCUACCCUCUGGGAGAGCUAAGAAGAUGUUUGCUCAUUUCUGGCUGGGAACACAACAGGAUUUGCUAAACUGAUCCUAAAGACAGAAGAGUUCCAAACCCAGGAGCAGUCUAGGCCCUAUGAAAUUAUGACUGUGGCCAAGGAAGCACAGGACCAGACACCAAGACUUUGGAUCCUUUUCCAUUUUUAUUCAGUACCGUCAUAUUAAUCUCAGUUAAUCUUUCUCUGCUUCCAUAUAAUAAAAGGAAAGACAUUUGAUUAGGUUAUAUGAGAUGCUUUUUCAGGCAGACUGAUUCAACACAUGGCUGCAAGACCAGGCAUUAUUAUCUCGACUAACAUGGACACAUUUUGAACACUGCUUCUCACUCUAUCAGCCGCUACCACCUCUGCAGUAAUGUGACAGCAAGGGAAAAAGGACGAGAAGGUGAUAAAGUUUGCCCACGCAAGCAGAAAAGAACUUUCUGUCCAAAGCCAGCUGGCUUGGCUUGGGAAUGAAAUGGCAUUUUAGCAUGGGAUGACACGUUUACGCGUGUACUGGAGCUGUGUUUCAAAACACUUGUCCUAGAUGCAACAGCAGGGGCUGUGAAGUAGUUUAUCAUCAAGCAGCUACAGAAAACAGGAGCUGCACUAGCCGAUUGCAGUGGGAGCCGAGGAUGCUCUGCACAAGUCAGGAGCAACUUACUUGACUUUAAGAGUUCCACAAGCGAUUUGUCACUUGAAGAGGCCCCACCAACUUCACAUCUACUUUAAAAAGUAGCUCAAAAACUUUUCAGUUAUUAAAAGAAGGUGGCAAGCAUUCAUGAGGAUAUGAAAAUUUAAAGCCGUCUGCAGGAAACUCUGAAAACCUCUGGUUAAGGCUGCUGCCAAAAAAUCUCAGCUAUGUUAUGUCAGAAUGUUUAAUUGCAAGCUGCAAUUUUAAUGAAUGGAAAGAUAUGGCAAAAGCAGGAAGUUUCUGAAGCAACAUAGAGCAACCAUGAAAAUAAAAUACCGAAGGUUGUAAUCUUGAAUGCUGCUGGAAGCAGGAAUUUCCAUCCACACUCCCGACUCCUUUUCCUACUGUGCAGAAUUUGCCAGCUGUCUGGCUGGAGAGAGGUAAGCUGUUCUGGAUAUCAUCUCCUGGGCUCAAGGCAGCACUUCUUAUGUCUAUGCGAAGAAGUCAACUUCUUUGCAUUUGUCGUUGUGGGUGUUUACAGAAAUGCAGCUUAGGAAUAGGGGAGGGAAAGCAAAUGUCAGAGUGCAUUAAAUAACAUAUUUUCUUAACUUUCCAAGAAGCUUGCUUGCAGCAUGAUGUUGCUAUUUAUAUCAGGUCUCUUAAACCCAGCUGUUGGUUCAUGUUCACAUGCAGAAUGGUGAGAAAAACCCAGCAGAAGAGUGUGAAUCCCAGGGAGACUUGUAUUCUGUCAUUGUGAAGACCUAGAAAAUAUCACAAGUUUUGCUGAGAUACGGAUCACCCAUGCUGUAAGUGAGGCAUGCAAUACAAAUAUUUUCCAUGUUCGUCUGUGGUAUUAGAAGGCCAGCAGCAAAGCAAAAGGAGAAGUACCAAAUGCUGCAACAGGCGCCUUCAGAUAGCGUAGUCUGAACCCGAGGCUGGAAAAGUUUGAAAGAGAACUUUUACCUGUAACUCAAAACUAGCAAAUAUACUGUACACCCACAUUACAGCAUUCUUAGACAAGCUGUGUCUGAUCUAAUCUUAUGUACCUUGGCCACAAGCUCUGGAAAAACAAAUAUUCCCAAGGCAAUCAGAUUACUGAAUGCACCAUAUAACGAUGUGGAAAUAUUAGCGGUUUACAGAGGGCAGUUUAUGACAUGGAUUGAGUGAAUUUAAUUCAUGCAUUGUCAGGCGGCUUGGACUUAACUAAACUAAGGAAAUCUUUACUUGAUUAUAUCUGUCUUUGGUGGAGCACCAGCGCCAAAUAAUAGUGUAAGAGCAAUACUCCCAACCACAGAGAGAGGUCAUAGGAGUUUGAUCCAAGCCAGCAUUCGGAGAGGGAAAGUCUGUGUCUGCACUGAAGUGGUUGUUAUGGGGUUAACAGGGUUACCCGAAGUGUUCAUGGAAAGGAACCAUUAUCUGCUCCUCUCUGGCUUCCUGUCCUGUAGGUGGGAGUCCCCCCUUCUCAUAUCCUUUGUUUCAAAUGCAAGUUCCCAUCCUGAAAUGCUGCGAGUACAAUUUGGUUUUGUUGCAAUAAGUAGUCCUUUACAACAUCUUCAUUCAUAGAGCACUUCCACCAUUGUAAGUGAAACAAUGUUAGGAAUUAAUCUA